GGAUUAGCGGGCACACUCUUUGGAAAAUAAUUACUUGUGCCUUUGGGUGUGGGCAUUAAUUUCUUACUCUUGGGAUCUGCUCCAUUCUACAUUUCAAAUUAGACUGUGCUUUCUAACAGGGAAGUGUGUUUGCUUCCUGAUCUCAAUCUAGGGAGCUGGGGCGAGAAGCGCCCUGAGGGAGAGGGGACACUCCUGGUUGGAUUCCAAGGGUUGGGUUUGGAAAUAUCAUAAUGCACGAGAGAAAAGAUCACUUGAAAACAAACGUUUGGAUGAGUUAUUGGAUGAUGGAAACUCUUCAUAACACAAAGAGCCAACAUCCGUCUCUUCUGAACCAGUUAACACACCACCCACAUGCUGCUUUCAGACACAGCGACGCUGGCCUAAUUUAUGUGCUCACCAUUGUUCUUGCACAUUUCAGAGAUGAGACCCAACAGUCGCCAAAUCGCUUGUUGAGGAGAAAUUAGCAAAUGGAUCAAAUGAGGAAUGAGGUCAACCAAGAAUCACAGUGCUGUUCAUUUCAGACAUGGGAGCAGAAGACAAGAUUUCAGACUCAUACACACGGCGACCCCAUGCCCGACUUCAAAAAAACAGUGAUUCAUCCAGACACCAAAGCUCAGCAGCUCAGAGUCAACCUCAAAUAUAGUCAAAGCUCACCAAGUGCUCUCCCAAGAAAAAUAGAACAUAAGUGCCAGAUGACCUGCGGUAAAGACUCUUCUUCCAAAGAGUGGCUGGACUGUCCUGAUUUCAUCGCACCUACAUUAGCGUGUCAACAGGCCCUUGCAAUUCCCAACGAUCCCACUGGGCUGCUUUAUCAUUGAUUACCUGUCCAGUGCCACACAUUUCUACAAAUGCACUCUCUUUUCUUUACGGCUGCAAUGCAGGACCAUUAAAAUCGGGUGUAGGUGUUCAUUAAAAUCGGGCUGAUUGAAUGUCUUUUUUUUUUCUUGAUCAAGUAUCUCUACUGAGCUGUGAUUUAGUGAACAUCUUACACUCACCCCUGCUUUCAAGAAAGAUGAGAAACACGUAACUUUCCGUUUACUGUUGACUGAGACAACAGUUGCCUGAAAAAUUAACUAGAAAUUGAAGUAAACACCAAUAAGGAAGUUACUUCAAAAUAAUUCUCAUUAUUUCUGACUUAUCGUUUGCACCUGAAACAUCUAAGGGGAGUGCCAAUUAAAAUUAUGUGUAUUGUGGGGCACCUGGGUGACCGUUUGACUCUUGGUUUUGGCUCAGGUCAUGAGCCAUGGGAUUGAGCCCCGAGUCGAGCUCCCAGCUGUGAGGUAGCUUCUUCUCCAUCUGCCUCUCCCUCUCCUUUGUCCUCUCUCUCUCUUUUUCCUUUCUCAAAUAAAUAUAUAAAAUCUUUAGAAAAAAAUAAAAAAAUAUAUAAUUACCUGCAUUGCCUUUGAUGAUGAAUGGCUUUCUAAAACAUGUAUUAAAUAUAUGAACAGCACGAGAUGUGAUCAAUGAGUUUUAUUGCCAUGACGAUGGGUAAUAUGACUUAACAUAGUUGUAGAGCAUAAUUUGU
rnacentral:lncRNA from 1 species